AUCAGCGCCAUUUUGUAAUGGCGAUUGCAAGGGCGGCUCCUCACACUUAAGUCUUUAUAGUCAGCCCAAUAUUCAUGUUGUGCUUCCUUGUGAAAAUACAUGAUCAUGAAAAUAUCUCUUAAAUUUUAAAAGACUGGAAUCAUUUCUAUACCUCACAGUCAGGAUACCAGCACUGGACAAUGAAUUUGAGUUUAGUUUUUUGUUUGUUUGUUUGUUUGUUUCUGCACUUAUAGAAACUCUGAAGACCAAAAUGGAGCAGGAUUUCUGGAAAAUUCAUCUUAACUUGAAGAUCUGAGCAUCUGUGUCAUGCUGAUGUGAAUAUCAUACCAAGAGGACUUAUACAGACACUCUGGUGGAGCAUCCAGACAGGCUGUUUCAGGCUUCUAUGCCAAUUUUUAGUCGACGUGAAUAUCACAUUUUGAAGAACUAUGUUUUCUGGCAAGAGAUUAAAAACCUUAUAGUGCACGUUAAACAAAGAUUAUAUGUUGAAGCAUCUGCCUCUUCUUGAGAAAAUAUAGUGAAGAAGGAAAAAAAAGUUGAGGUUUUAAUUUUUAACAUCUAAAAAUGAUUUAAGACUAAUUCAGUAAUGCUUUUUUUCUUUAACAAGAAAAAUAUAACAAUACAUAAAUAUAUAUUCUGUUGACUUUGAUUUAUACUGCGUUUACU
ensembl:lincRNA Gm43731 predicted gene 43731